AGCCGCAGAAUAGCUAGACUUUCAAUGGUCUCCAAAACCGUAGGUCGCGGGUUCGAAUCCUGCUGCCCCUGCCA
rnacentral:tRNA from 1 species